AAACCUGACUUGUGAUCCUGGAGUUGGAUAGCUUUGCGGUUGAAGUUCAAUUGCCAAUUGUACUUGAUUGAUGAACCCUCGAAACUUUCAUCUCGUACCAUCAAAUUUCUCAGGUAAGGCAAUUCUUGGUUCUCUAGUGCUUAUAGGGUGUUGUACAAUUAGAGAAGGAACGUGAUUUGUUGUAGAUGUUGAAGCAGCUCCAAUCAUCUCUAUAUCUCCACUCUCUGCUAUUCUUGUUCUUUCCUGUGUUGGUGAAUUGAG
rnacentral:lncRNA from 1 species